AACGAACGCUGGCGGCAUGCCUAACACAUGCAAGUCGAACGAGACCUUCGGGUCUAGUGGCGCACGGGUGCGUAACGCGUGGGAACCUGCCCUUAGGUUCGGAAUAACUCCCCGAAAGGGGUGCUAAUACCGGAUAAUGUCUUCGGACCAAAGAUUUAUCGCCUUUGGAUGGGCCCGCGUUGGAUUAGCUAGUUGGUAGGGUAAAAGCCUACCAAGGCGACGAUCCAUAGCUGGUCUGAGAGGAUGAUCAGCCACACUGGGACUGAGACACGGCCCAGACUCCUACGGGAGGCAGAAGUGGGAAAUAUUGGACAAUGGGCGAAAGCCUGAUCCGGCAAUGCCGCGUGAGUGAUGAAGGCCUUAGGGUUGUAAAGCUCUUUUACCCGGGAUGAUAAUGACAGUACCGGGAGAAUAAGCUCCGGCUAACUCCGUG
rnacentral:rRNA from 1 species